UUACGAGGUCAGGACACUGUGAGGAUUGACAGAUUGAAAGCUCUUUCUUGAUUCAGUGGGUGGUGGUGCAUGGCCGUUCUUAGUUGGUGGAGUGAUUUGUCUGGUUAAUUCCGUUAACGAACGAGACCUUAACCUGCUAAAUAGUCACGCGAACCGGUCCGCAAGGGCUCAAAGUUCGCGGCUCGACUUCUUAGAGGGACUAUUCGCACCCGCCAGCGAAUGGAAGUUUGAGGCAAUAACAGGUCUGUGAUGCCCUUAGAUGUUCUCGGCCGCACGCGCGUUACACUGACGGAGUCAACGAGCGCUUUUUCCUUGCCCGAUAGGGCCGGGUAACCUCAUGAAACUCCGUCGUGAUGGGGAUAGAUCAUUGCAAUUAUUGAUCUUGAACGAGGAAUUCCUAGUAAGCGCGAGUCAUCAACUCGCGCUGAUUACGUCCCUGCCCUUUGUACACACCGCCCGUCGCUCCUACCGAUUGAACGGUCCGGCGAGAACUCCGGAUGGUC
rnacentral:rRNA from 1 species